AUUUGUGAUUGCUAGUAACUGGCAAUCUUAACCAAAGAUAACUCUCAACAACGGAUAUCUUGGCUCUCGCAACGAUGAAGAACGCAGCGAAAUGCGAUACGUAGUGUGAAUUGCAGAAUUCCGUGACCCAUCGAAUCUUUGAACGCAUAUUGCGCUCGAGCCUCCGGGCAAGAGCAUGUCUGCCUCAGCGUCGGUUUACACCCUCACCCCUCCCACUUUGUUGGGUUGCUUGGCAACUUUGCCAGCAUAGGUGGUGGAUCUGGCUUCCCCAAUCUGCCGUCUGGUAGAUUGGGUUGGCUGAAGAGUAGAGGUUUAAGCAAGGACCCGUUAUGGGCUUCAACUGGAUAGGUAGCACCGGCUUGUGCCGACUACACGAAGUUGAUGCUCGUGGAUCUUGCUAGAGGCCAAGCAGGAACGUGCCCAUGGCACGUCUAAACUUUCGACCUGAGCUCAGGCAAGGCUACCCGCUGAACUUAAGCAUAUCAAUAAGCGGAGGAA
rnacentral:rRNA from 1 species